GUGCUCACUUUGGCAACAUAUAUACUAAAACUGGAACAAUACAGAGAAGAUUAGCGUGGCCCCUGUGCAAGGAUGACACGAAAAUUCGUGCCACGUUCCAUAUUUUU
ensembl:snRNA U6 U6 spliceosomal RNA